rnacentral:rRNA from 1 species
AGAGUUUGAUCAUGGCUCAGGACGAACGCUGGCGGCGUGCUUAACACAUGCAAGUCGAACGGGACCCUUUGGAACAAGACUUCGGUCAAGGGAAUUUGAGUCUAGUGGCGGACGGGUGAGUAACGCGUGAGCAACUUGCCUUGGACAGUGGAAUAACACAGGGAAACUUGUGCUAAUACCGCAUGAAGUGCGGGUAGGGCAUCCUAUCUGCACCAAAGGAAGCAAUUCCGGUCUGAGAUGGGCUCGCGUCCGAUUAGAUAGUUGGUGAGGUAACGGCCCACCAAGUCGACGAUCGGUAGCCGGACUGAGAGGUUGGCCGGCCACAUUGGGACUGAGACACGGCCCAGACUCCUACGGGAGGCAGCAGUGGGGAAUAUUAGGCAAUGGGGGCAACCCUGACCUAGCAACGCCGCGUGAAGGAUGAAGGUUUUCGGAUUGUAAACUUCUUUGGCAGGGGACGAUAAUGACGGUACCCUGAGAACAAGCCACGGCUAACUACGUGCCAGCAGCCGCGGUAAUACGUAGGUGGCGAGCGUUGUCCGGAUUUACUGGGUGUAAAGGGCGAGUAGGCGGGAGACCAAGUCAGAUGUGAAAUACCGAGGCUUAACUUCGGAGCUGCAUUUGAAACUGGCCUUCUUGAGUGAUGGAGAGGCAGGCGGAAUUCCCGGUGUAGCGGUGAAAUGCAUAGAGAUCGGGAGGAACACCAGUGGCGAAGGCGGCCUGCUGGACAUUAACUGACGCUGAGGCGCGAAAGUGUGGGGAGCAAACAGGAUUAGAUACCCUGGUAGUCCACACCGUAAACGAUGGAUACUAGGUGUGGGGGGGUUUGACCCCCUCCGUGCCGGAGUUAACACAAUAAGUAUCCCACCUGGGGAGUACGAUCGCAAGAUUGAAACUCAAAGGAAUUGACGGGGGCCCGCACAAGCAGUGGAGUAUGUUGUUUAAUUCGACGCAACGCGAAGAACCUUACCGGGGUUUGACAUCUGAGGAAUCUGAUUGAAAGAUUGGAGUGCCCUUCGGGGAACCUCAAGACAGGUGGUGCAUGGUUGUCGUCAGCUCGUGUCGUGAGAUGUUGGGUUAAGUCCCGCAACGAGCGCAACCCCUAUUGUCAGUUGCUACGCAAGAGCACUCUGGCGAGACUGCCGUUGACAAAACGGAGGAAGGUGGGGACGACGUCAAAUCAUCAUGCCCUUUAUAUCCUGGGCUACACACGUACUACAAUGGCAAUGACAGAGGGCAGCUACCCCGCGAGGGGAUGCUAAUCCCAAAAAAUUGCCUCAGUUCGGAUUGCUCUCUGCAACUCGAGAGCAUGAAGUCGGAAUCGCUAGUAAUCGCGAAUCAGCAGGUCGCGGUGAAUACGUUCCCGGGCCUUGUACACACCGCCCGUCACACCAUGGGAGUUGGUUUUACUUGAAGACGCUGUGCUAACCGCAAGGAGGCAGGUGGCCACGGUAAGAUCAGUAACUGGGGUGAAGUCGUAACAAGGUAGCCGUA